rnacentral:lncRNA from 1 species
AAAAAUCUUACAAAAUAUGAUGAUAUGACAUUAAAAUUUUAGAUCAAAGUUAUUGAUCUUGUUUUAUAUGGUAUAAAGAAGUUUCUAUCAAAAUUUCAUGUGAUUUGGAUAUUUUUACACCGUUAAACUUGCAACCGGCUCACCACGGCCUUUAAAAUUAUUGAUUUUUGAGCCCCUUCGAUCACUAGGCAAAUGAUAUCGAAAAAUUGCAAAAUUUAUUUUCUAGGUACUUCAAAUACUCUAGAUCAACUCUAACGGAGCCGAUCGUCGAUUCGAAAGUCCGAACAUCGAAAACGACUUGGAAGCACGGAUCGAGGUCUCAGACUGUUAAGACAGGAGAACUGUUUAGGUUAGUU